rnacentral:rRNA from 1 species
AUGGUGAAGCAGAUGCAUAAAAAAUUUGAGGACACCACUGCUCAACUUCAAUCUCAAUUAACUGACAUGAAAGCCCGGCUGGAGGUGCAAGAAUAUGAGACCCAAAAGGCCGACUCAAAAUUCCAAUUUAGCGUGGCUGAAACGGAAAAGCUGAAGACCAGUUUUGAGGUUGAAAGAAACACCUAUGCUGAAGAAAAAACUGCUUUGGUACAGCGGGCGGAGAAGGCGGAUGCGACUCUUGAUGAGGUAACCACUGAGUUGACCGGCAUAAAACGGCAUGUAUCUCAGAUGGUUUCUGCUAUCUUUGGUCCAAGGAGCACCAAUCUGAGCCAAGAGAUGCUUGUAAAGCUCAAGGCUGUUUACACCCUCGUUGAGCAGCUCUAUACUGGGACUCAGCGCGCACUGGACACAAUUCUCCGGCUAAUCAAGAACCUACUAUCUUGGUUGAUGUCUUGA